rnacentral:misc_RNA from 1 species
GGGAAAUUAAUAAAUAUUUAUGGAUUAUGUAACAUUUUUCUAUUAUAAUAUUAUUGGUUCUAGGGACCUACUAUAGGCUGGGUCCCGCGCAACGGGAACCCGCGAACCUGGUCAGGCCCGGAAGGGAGCAGCCAUAAGCGGUACUUCCUGUGUGCCGCGGGGGUGCCCGGCCAUCUUUAUUUUAAGGGGGAUUUUUAUGAAAAAAGGAUUUUUU